rnacentral:rRNA from 1 species
UACGUAGGGGGCAAGCGUUGUCCGGAUUUAUUGGGCGUAAAGAGCGUGUAGGCGCCAGACAGGUCCGUUGUGAAAACUGGAGGCUUAACCUCCAGACGUCGAUGGAAACCGUCUGGCUAGAGUCCGGAAGAGGAGAGUGGGAACUGCGAGUGUAGAGGUGAAAUUCGUAGAUAUUCGCAAGAACACCCGUGGCGAAGGCGGCUCUCUGGGACGGUACUGACGGCUGAGACGCGAAAGCGUGGGGAGCGAACAGG